rnacentral:rRNA from 1 species
AAAACAAUCCUACGGGAGGCAGCAGUAGGGAAUAUUGGGCAAUGGAUGCAAGUCUGACCCAGCCAUGCCGCGUGCCGGAUGAAGGCCCUCAGGGUUGUAAACGGCUUUUAUUCGGGAAGAAGAGCAGGGAUGCGUCCUUGUGUGACGGUACCGAAUGAAUAAGCACCGGCUAACUCCGUGCCAGCAGCCGCGGUAAUACGGAGGGUGCGAGCGUUGUCCGGAUUUAUUGGGUUUAAAGGGUGCGUAGGUGGCUUAAUAAGUCAGUGGUGAAAUACAGCCGCUCAACGGUUGAGGUGCCAUUGAUACUGUUAAGCUUGAAACAAGUGGAGGUUGCCGGAAU